rnacentral:rRNA from 1 species
CAGCAGCCGCGGUAAUACGGAGGGUGCAAGCGUUAAUCGGAAUUACUGGGCGUAAAGCGCACGCAGGCGGUCUGUCAAGUCGGAUGUGAAAUCCCCGGGCUCAACCUGGGAACUGCAUUCGAAACUGGCAGGCUAGAGUCUUGUAGAGGGGGGUAGAAUUCCAGGUGUAGCGGUGAAAUGCGUAGAGAUCUGGAGGAAUACCGGUGGCGAAGGCGGCCCCCUGGACAAAGACUGACGCUCAGGUGCGAAAGCGUGGGGAGCAAACAGGAUUAGAUACCCGGGUAGUCCCUGUCUAUUAUAA